rnacentral:tRNA from 1 species
GCGGCAGUGGCGGAACUGGUAGACGCGCUAGCUUGAGGGGCUAGUGUUCGCAAGGACGUGGAGGUUCAAGUCCUCUCUGCCGCA